UCUGAAACGAUGGACUUCAAAUUUUCUGCAAAGAUUUGAGAGCCCGAUUGGAAAGUAUAGGUCUAUGAAAUUAUUACUUCAGAAUGGUUCUGCAUGGCUUGUGGAUCUCUGAGGAGUUCUGGCUUGCUGCAUUGGGAGUCUUCUUCAUCACCACCAUCAUCAAACAGUGCCUGGGGAGGAUGACACUUCUGUGGUGUGUAGUGAGUCUCUACUUUUAUGGAAUCCUGCAAAGUGAUGCCUCAGAACGCUGCGAUGACUGGGGACUAGAUACCAUGAGGCAAAUCCAAGUGUUUGAAGAUGAGCCAGCUCGCAUCAAGUGCCCACUCUUUGAACACUUCUUGAAAUUCAACUACAGCACAGCCCAUUCAGCUGGCCUUACUCUGAUCUGGUAUUGGACUAGGCAGGACCGGGACCUUGAGGAGCCAAUUAACUUCCGCCUUCCUGAGAACCGCAUUAGUAAGGAGAAAGAUGUGCUGUGGUUCCGGCCCACUCUCCUCAAUGACACUGGCAACUAUACCUGCAUGUUAAGGAACACUACAUAUUGCAGCAAAGUUGCAUUUCCCUUGGAAGUUGUUCAAAAAGACAGCUGUUUCAAUUCCCCCAUGAAACUCCCAGUGCAUAAACUGUAUAUAGAAUAUGGCAUUCAGAGGAUCACUUGUCCAAAUGUAGAUGGAUAUUUUCCUUCCAGUGUCAAACCGACUAUCACUUGGUAUAUGGGCUGUUAUAAAAUACAGAAUUUUAAUAAUGUAAUACCCGAAGGUAUGAACUUGAGUUUCCUCAUUGCCUUAAUUUCGAAUAAUGGAAAUUACACAUGUGUUGUUACAUAUCCAGAAAAUGGGCGUACGUUUCAUCUCACCAGGACUCUGACUGUAAAGGUAGUAGGCUCUCCAAAAAAUGCAGUGCCCCCUGUGAUCCAUUCACCUAACGAUCAUGUGGUCUAUGAGAAAGAACCAGGAGAGGAGCUACUCAUUCCCUGUACGGUCUAUUUUAGUUUUCUGAUGGAUUCUCGCAAUGAGGUUUGGUGGACCAUUGAUGGAAAAAAACCUGAUGACAUCACUAUUGAUGUCACCAUUAACGAAAGUAUAAGUCAUAGUAGAACAGAAGAUGAAACAAGAACUCAGAUUUUGAGCAUCAAGAAAGUUACCUCUGAGGAUCUCAAGCGCAGCUAUGUCUGUCAUGCUAGAAGUGCCAAAGGCGAAGUUGCCAAAGCAGCCAAGGUGAAGCAGAAAGUGCCAGCUCCAAGAUACACAGUGGAACUGGCUUGUGGUUUUGGAGCCACAGUCCUGCUAGUGGUGAUUCUCAUUGUUGUUUACCAUGUUUACUGGCUAGAGAUGGUCCUAUUUUACCGGGCUCAUUUUGGAACAGAUGAAACCAUUUUAGAUGGAAAAGAGUAUGAUAUUUAUGUAUCCUAUGCAAGGAAUGCGGAAGAAGAAGAAUUUGUAUUACUGACCCUCCGUGGAGUUUUGGAGAAUGAAUUUGGAUACAAGCUGUGCAUCUUUGACCGAGACAGUCUGCCUGGGGGAAAUACAGUGGAAGCAGUUUUUGAUUUCAUUCAGAGAAGCAGAAGGAUGAUUGUUGUUCUGAGCCCUGACUAUGUGACAGAAAAGAGCAUCAGCAUGCUGGAGUUUAAACUGGGUGUCAUGUGCCAGAACUCCAUUGCCACCAAGCUCAUUGUGGUUGAGUACCGUCCCCUUGAGCACCCGCACCCAGGCAUUCUUCAGCUCAAGGAGUCUGUGUCUUUUGUGAGCUGGAAGGGAGAAAAGUCCAAACAUUCUGGCUCUAAAUUCUGGAAAGCUUUGCGGUUGGCUCUUCCCCUGAGAAGUCUGAGUGCCAGUUCUGGCUGGAAUGAGAGCUGCUCUUCCCAGUCUGACAUCAGUCUGGAUCAUGUUCAAAGGAGGAGAAGUCGUUUGAAAGAGCCCCCAGAACUUCAGAGCUCAGAGAGGGCUGCAGGUAGCCCUCCAGCCCCAGGCACAAUGUCCAAGCACCGAGGGAAGUCCUCUGCCACCUGCCGCUGUUGUGUCACCUACUGUGAAGGAGAGAAUCACCUUAGGAACAAGAGCCGGGCAGAGAUUCAUAACCAGCCCCAGUGGGAGACACACCUCUGUAAGCCUGUUCCCCAAGAGUCAGAAACUCAAUGGAUACAAAAUGGCACCAGAUUGGAACCCCCUGCUCCCCAGAUCUCAGCCCUUGCUCUUCAUCAUUUCACGGACUUAUCCAAUAACAACGACUUUUAUAUCCUAUAAUUACUGUGUGUGGUGGGUGGUGGCUACUAUCUCUACCAACCCUCUGUAUGUCAUGAACCUGUGGGAAAAUCUGACAUUUUUAUCAUCUAAUGGACUAUCAGAUUACUGUCCCUUUUAUUGAUUUUUAAAAACUAUUUAUUUCUAGGAGACAAAAGACCUGAAGGACCUGAAUCCAGAAUUAUUGCCUCUAACGGCCUCAGAAGAGCACACUCUUCUUGGGCCCUAGAAGGCUCUGAUUUUCUCCAGCCAAGGACUACAAAUCAUCCUCUUAACAAGGUGUUUGCAGGCAAUAGAUGAAAACGUAGGGCAUGUUUAGCCCUCGAAGUUGCCUCAGCACAAGGAAACAGUUGAAUAGAUGAUUAGUAGAAUGUAUUUAUAAUAUAUGAAAUAUCAAUCAGUGAUAUUUGGAACCUGGUGGGAUCGCUGUAGUCAUCAUAUGUAUUAAUCAGAAUAAGAUAUGCUAUGCCAUGCUAACAAAGAACCCCAAUAUUUCAGUAGCUUCAUAUAACAAGACUUAUUUCUUGUUUAUGCUACACGUCCAGCAUAGGAGCUUACAUUUUUUUUUUUUUUUUUUUUUUUUUUGAGACGGAGUCUCACUCUGUUGCCAGGCUGGAGUGCAGUGGCGUGAUCUUACAUCACUGCAACCUCCACCUCUCGGGUUCAAGUGAUCCUCCUGCCUCAGCCUCCCGAGUAGCUGGGACUACAGGUGCGCAUCACCACACCCAGAUAAUUUUUUGUAUUUUUAGCAAAGACAGGGUUUCACCAUGUUGGCCAGGAUGGUCUCGAUCUCUUAACCUCAUGAUCUGCCUGCCUCGGCCUCCCAAAGUGCUGGGAUUACAGGCAUGAACCACUGCACCCGGCCCAGAGCUUACUUUUUUUAUGCUUUGCCAUCUGAAAUGUGUGGCUUCCUGUUGUGCUAUGCUUUAGCUGAAAUGUGACACUCAUUACUUUCACUUACAAUUCAUUAGCCAGAACUAGCUCUGAGGUCCUGCUGUAAUCAUAAAAAAGGAUAGAAAAUAUAGUCUUCCUAUGUCUCGAAAGAGAAAAAUGAAAUGAACUUGGUGAACACAUACCACCAUCUUUGUCUACAAAUGUGAUGAGAAUAACAUAUUACGGAAGCCUGAAGAGGUAAGAAAUCUUCAAACUGAGAUAUGUCACAUAAUUUGCUAAUGAAAAAAAAAAAAGGACUUUGCUACCAGUACUCCACCUCAGUUUGCCAAAGUAUCAAGAUAAAACAGCAUGCAGAAAAGUACACCUUGUUUGUAAGUGUUCCCCAAAGAAAAGUUGUUGAAGGAAUGCAUAAUAAUAAUCAUAGCUUCUGGCUAAGAGAAAGCAUGCUUAAAAAUUUGAAAGUUACUGUAUUUGGUUACCUUCCAUUCAGUAGCUUUAGCUAGUUCCCUAAGAACGUGAUGCUCAAACUAUCUGUAAAUGAGCCAUUUCAUUUUGGAUAUCAAAGGAGCCUCAGAAGAAGUGAAGACAUCUAGAACACAGCAGAGCAUGUAACACAGUCAUUAGAAAACAGCCCUUGAUCCAUCUAUCUGAAGAGCUAAACAGGGGAUUCAAAAUGAACAUGCUAAAGCUCAAGUGAAGGAAGAGACAAAAACUGGUGUAUUAUGAAGUGUGUGCAUCUGCUGUCUCUACAUUUGGAUUCUCUGCUUGUAUUAAAGAUUUGAAUUUUUAUAUGACUUCUCUAAUGUGUAUGGAAUCAUUCGAUCAUGAAGAAAGGCUCUCUUUGGUUUGGCAAAGAUUUGUGCUUAAUAAGUCUUGGUCUAUGUUACUAAGUUAUAAUGUUGAACAAAAAAACCUAUUAUUUCUUAGUGUAGCAAGGAGAUUACUGACACAUUCAAAAUCCCUUAGAAAAUAAUUCACAAAGUUUUUCUCUUGAACAGUUUAAUCAUUUCAAAAUAUUUAAAUGAAAAAAAUGACUCUUUGAAAUGAGCUUAUUGGAAGAAAGAAGAAAGAUUCAAACUAAACUUUGAAAUCAGAUCAUGAGCUGUUUUUAACUUAACUCACCCAGGUAAUGGGAAUUUUAAUACUUCAUUGCUUUAUUUUUUUAAAAAGAAAAAAAUCUAAUGUAUAUUUAAGACUCAAAGACAUAUAUAACUUAUUAAUUUUCUAUUGUCAAAAACUGUGUCAUAUGCUUGCAAUUAAUUUAGCAUUUGGCGUUGUGUUUUGAAGUAACUUGGGCAAGUGGUUCUUAACUAGAAUUUAAUUUCAUCUUUUAAAAAAUUACACAUACCUCGGGUCCAUCUCAGUCUACUAAAUCUCCCAUAUUGAUCUAGAUAUGUGCUCUGAUAUAGGAUAACUGUCUUAAGUUUGCAUAUGUUUCAAUGAGAAAUAAAUGAUGUUAUAUUAUAAAUAUAUAUUUAAAAGGCAAAAGAACUCCUAAUAUUGUAAAUAAUCCUUUUCUUAAUAUUCAAAACUUAAAAUUCAUUGCCAGAUACUGGAAUUGAAUCAUUUAUUUUCAUAUCUUAUUAUGAAAUUACAUAAAAUAUGAGAACACAAAAUAAAGAUAAUAAAAUGAGAGAAAUAAUCAGUGUAGUGACUGAAUUGGGUAGCCAAAGGAGGCCAUAACUCCAGUAUGUAUGACAUCCAUAUCGUCAGUUAUCUUAAACAAGACAAAGUGUUUAUGAUGAAAUGGUUUUGGGCAAAGACAAAUGACUUCUAAGAACAACCAAAAGAGAAAAGGGGUCGGGCUCGGUGGCUCACGCCUGUAAUCCCAGCACUUUGGGAGGUCAAGGCAGAUGGAUCAACUGAGGUCAGGAGUUCGAGACCAGCCUGGCCAACAUGGUGAAACCCUAUCUCUACCAAAAAUACAAAAAUUAGCUGGGCGUGGUGGUGGGUGCCUGUAAUCCCAGCUACUCGGGAGGCUGAGGCAGGAGAAUCACUUGAAC